rnacentral:rRNA from 1 species
UACGUAGGGUGCAAGCGUUGUCCGGAAUUAUUGGGCGUAAAGAGCUCGUAGGCGGUUUGUUGCGUCGGCUGUGAAAUCCCGAGGCUCAACCUCGGGUCUGCAGUCGAUACGAGCAAACUAGAGUGUUGCAGGGGAGACUGGAAUUCCUGGUGUAGCGGUGAAAUGCGUAGAUAUCAGGAGGAACACCGGUGGCGAAGGCGGGUCUCUGGGCAAUAACUGACGCUGGAGGAGCGAAAGCCGUGGGGAGCGAACAGG